UACGUAGGUGGCAAGCGUUGUCCGGAUUUACUGGGCGUAAAGAGCGCGCAGGCGAUCGUUCAAGUCGCGUGUGAAAGCCCCCGGCUUAACUGGGGAGGGUCAUUCGAUACUGUUUAACUUGAAGGCAGGAGAGGGUAGUGGAAUUCCCGGUGUAGUGGUGAAAUGCGUAGAUAUCGGGAGGAACACCCAGUGGCGAAGGCGACUACCUGGCCUGUUCUUGACGCUGAGGCGCGAAAGCUGGGGGAGCAAACGGGG
rnacentral:rRNA from 1 species